rnacentral:RNase_P_RNA from 1 species
CUGGGUAUUCGUACCGAGAGGAAAGUCCGGGCUCCAUAGAGCGGGAUGCUGGCUAACGGCCAGGCGCUAUAAGCCGCAAGGCGAAGGCGACGGAAAGUGCAACAGAGAGCAGACCGCCGAUGGCUCCGGUGCAAACCGGGGAUCAGGCAAGGGUGAAACGGUGGCCGGACCUCAGGUCCGGACGGGCCGGCGCAAGCCGGUUCGGGGUAAGAGCCCACCGCGGCUGUGGCGACACAGACGGCACGGUAAACCCCAUCCGGAGCAAGGCCAAAUAGGGGAGCAUCAGGCGUGGCUCGCGCUGCUCCCGGGUAGGCUGCUUGAGCGC